rnacentral:hammerhead_ribozyme from 1 species
AUCCAGCUGACGGGUCCUAAAUAGAACGAAAUGCGUAUUCUGAAU